UACAGAGGGUGCGAGCGUUGUUCGGAAUCACUGGGCGUAAAGCGCGUGUAGGCGGCACGAUAAGUCGGAUGUGAAAGCCCCGGGCUCAACCUGGGAACUGCAUCCGAUACUGUCGAGCUAGAGUCCCGGAGGGGGUGGUGGAAUUCCCGGUGUAGAGGUGAAAUUCGUAGAUAUCGGGAGGAACACCUGUGGCGAAGGCGACCACCUGGACGGGCACUGACGCUGAGACGCGAAAGCGUGGGUAGCAAACAGG
rnacentral:misc_RNA from 1 species